rnacentral:rRNA from 1 species
GAUGAACGCUGGCGGCGUGCCUAACACAUGCAAGUCAAGCGAGAUGUAUAUGGACGAAACUUCGGUCUAGGAAAUAUAUUGACAGCGGCGGACGGGUGAGUAACGCGUAGGCAACCUGCCCUUAACACAGGGAUAGCCUCGGGAAACCGGGAUUAAAACCUGAUAAUGCCAAAUAGUCACAUGGCUGUUUGGCCAAAGAUUUAUCGGUUAAGGAUGGGCCUGCGUCUGAUUAGUUUGUUGGUGGGGUAACGGCCUACCAAGACUACGAUCAGUAGCCGACCUGAGAGGGUGAUCGGCCACAUUGGAACUGAGACACGGUCCAAACUCCUACGGGAGGCAGCAGUGGGGAAUAUUGCACAAUGGGCGAAAGCCUGAUGCAGCAACGCCGCGUGAGCGAUGAAGGCCUUUGGGUCGUAAAGCUCUGUCCUUGGGGAAGAAAAAAAUGACGGUACCCAAGGAGGAAGCCCCGGCUAACUACGUGCCAGCCGCCGCUGUAAUAC